GCCACUCGGAUGGCUGGGGUCUGGUUCUGUGCUAGAGGGGGUGACUUUUCUUCUCCGAGGCUGGGGUGGGCGCACUCUCGGGGGGCACUGACUGCUGGGCCUGAGUGGCUGGAACUGGGGCCUCCGGGAGUGGGGAUGUGGGGUCAGGGUGAUCUUGACUUAGCUUCUGGCUGGCUGGUGGCAGACUCUCAAAAGCCUGAGCCCCGGGCUGCUUAUGAAACUCCUGGGCAGAUGAAGCCUGGCCUGGAGCAAUCUCUUGAACCCAAGAGCCGCUCUGGGGGGCCUGCUGGGUGUGAUCCAGGGCCUGCAAGUCAUGAACAGCUGGGCCGACCUGCAAGUCCAUAGGCUGGGUCUGAAAAGGCUGGGUGGGCAGAAGCUGAAUCAAAGAGAGCAGGGUGGCCCCAGCGUGGGCUUGGGAAACCUGCACAGGUGGAGGCUGAGUUUGAGAGGCCUGAGAAAGAUUCUGGAGCUGGCUCUGGGAAGCUAGAGGGACUGGGAGGUGGCUCUGUACAGCCACAGGCACUGGGGGGUCGCUCUGAGAGUCCACAGGCAGCGCGAGGUGGGUCUGUGCAGCCACAGGCACCAUGGGCUGGCUCGUAGAGGCCAAGGAGACUACAGGCAGGCUCUUGGAGGGGAGGAUGGCUGGAGGCACGGGCUGGUCCGGAGGAGACAGAGUGGACUCGGACUGCACCAGAUGAGCCGAUGGUCGUUUAAUAAGCCGUGGCAGCCCAGCCUCGGGGCCCGGAGGACUAGCGUCAGGGCCUGCAGGGCGAGGUGCCUCGGAACUUUCGACGGUUUCAGGUUGGGGGCCCAGAGCCUCUCUGCAAACGUCUUGGGCGUCGCCGCUCUCUCGGACACCUUGCAUCCCGUCUUUGUCCUGGGCCUCCUCCUCUAGCUGUUUCUCCACCUCGCCAGUGACGGUCAUAUCCAGAGAAGCCCUCCUCUGAAGGAUCCUCCUGGUGCGCCGCCGCCGCAUGCGCAGGAAGGUGGUGGAGACGCCGCAGACCGCCAAAGAGAGGCGGUGGCCGACGCCCUGUCUGAGGGCUUCCACCGUGGUGGCGGAGGGCACGGGGAAGGGGCUCUUCAGGGCCUCCUCGGGAGUCAGUUCGAUGUUGCCCGUGUACCAGGAGACCCACCAGAGGAGGCUGAAGACGAUGAUGAUGGCACCCAGGUAGAGCAGCAGGUCGUAGAAGAACAGGUCGGCGAAGAUGCCGGUGAACAGCACCGUCAGGCCCACCGUGUCGAAGACGACGCCCAGCCAGAAGAAAUGCCGGCAGCGGCCCAGGCCCGUCCGCUUCCUGGUCCCACCGACGGUGUUUCCUGAACUCUCCAUGAGCCCCCACGAUCGCCGCCUCCAGAUCCGCAGAGGCGACCUGGCCGGCGGCGCCGCCGCAGGCCGGCUGUGGCCGCUGGGUCGCCAUGGCAACGCGCGGGGAG
rnacentral:lncRNA from 1 species